rnacentral:misc_RNA from 1 species
CUUGUUGAGGAAGCAACUAAUGUUGCAGGAAUGGGAGCUGCUAUUGAAUCAGCGAAAGCAUCAAAGCAGAGGGAAUAACUAUCUUUCACAAGCAAUAGAGGUGCUGGAGUCAGCGGGCUUUCUUUCUCUACUGUUUAGGAAGAGAUAGCUGCCAUAAAGAGGGAGUGAGAUUCGGCUUAAGUGAGUUCAGUUAGCCUAGAGGGGAAG